CCUACGGGCGGCAGCAGUGAGGAAUCUUGGUCAAUGGCCGGAAGGCUGAACCAGCCAAGCCGCGUGCAGGACGAAGGUGCCAAGCAUUGUAAACUUCUUUUGUCAAGGGACACAAUCAGGCUCGAGAGCCUGACCGAGGGUACUUGAAGACAAAGCAUCGGCUAACUCCGUGCCAGCAGCCGCGGUAAUACGGAGGAUGCGAGCGUUAUCCGGAUUUAUUGGGUUAAACGGGUGCGUAGGCGGACUGUUCCGUCGGCGGUAAAAGCCCGGGGCGCAACCCCGGCGAGCCGUUGAAACUGGCUGUCUUGAGAUGUCGAGAGGGAUGCGGAAGGCGCAGGGUAGCGGUGAAAUGCUUAGAUAGUGCGCAGAACUCCGAUUGCGAAGGCAGCAUACCGGCGGCGAUCUGACGCUGAGGCACGAAAGCGUGGGUAUCGAACAGGAUUAGAUACCCCUGUAGUC
rnacentral:rRNA from 1 species